AACCAGUGUUACGCAGCCACCUUUCAGAGCCCAGAAAAGGGUUUCUGGCCAUUGUGGUGGGGAUGAGGAGUCCUGGAACGCAGGGAUGAGCUGGAGGAGGAACCCACCACAGCUGUGGUGAGGGGGCACGAUCUCUGGGGAAACAGGACGAGAAUAACCGCUGAAAUGCCCAGCACCAGCCCCUGUGUGCUGCCUUCUCUCCUGUGUGUGUGCGAAGAUGGUGAGGCCAGCAGGAAGUAUGCAUGCAUUUAAAACUCCAUACCAGAGACUGCAACACUAGAGUGCAGCUUCUGGAAUCCAUUAGAACAUGCAGAAAAAGACCAAAUCCAACAAUGACUGAAAGCCUGAUAAACUCUGUAAGAAUCAAUGCAGAGCAGCCGUGGUAAUUCUAUGAAGCACCAAGUUCCCAGAUUCCUUAUAUUUUUCUGUCCCUUGAUGUGUGGUUUCCAUUCUUGAGGUCACAGGAUGGCUGCUGGAGCCCUAACCAUCAUAUACAAGUUCUGGACAUUGCAAAAAAAGAGAAGAAGGGAAAGGAAUCUCAGGGAAGGUCAUGGAAGCUGAAUGAAGGCCGUUUCUUGUAAUCAAAGAAAAGGAGACACAGAAGGACUUUGUGCCCAGAAGCUGCAUGGGGCCCUGCUCGGUAUCACUUUCAACAAAUACCCACCUCCAAGUAAAAGGAGAGCACUGAAUUAGGUAAAAUAUGGACAUCAUCGGAAAUGGGGUCUUCCAGGAAGCCACCAAAGAGGCGAAUAAUGACAGUUCUUUGCAUAAGAACCUUUAAAAAGAGCCCCAACCCUGUUCUGCUCUUUCAAGUGGCUGCUAGACUGCUAGUUUCACCAUGAAUUCAGGUUGUUAUUUUUCAAAACUACAAUGGAGGUACAGAGUAAAGGGUGGGACUUAGGCAAGUUAAAACACCGCAAAGCUCUCUGUUCUUACUGAGACUAAGCUGUUUUUCUUGAAUAUAUUUCCCCUUGGGUUGCUGCAAGCUGUUGGUUAAUUUUCAGAGUUCUGAAAAAGUCCUCUAAUGUUAACAGGUUUUCCUUAGUUAAAACCAAGAUUUUUUUCCAAGUUAGAUUUUUUCCAAUUAAACUUACAAAAUGUAUUGCUAGUUUUUCUUCCCUAGUGAUAUUUCCAUAGAUUCAUAAACCACUUUUGUCUUUUCGAAAUUCGUCCUCAUGGUAAACUGAAAGGAAGCUAUUAACUGUCUUCCCUAUCUCCACCCCUAGGACUGCAAUUUGUGUUUUUAAUACAAUAAUUUGGCUGUAUCAAGAGGCUACAUUUCUUAUCAGCUAUAAUUAUAUCUCUUUCAUGAGAUGCUUUGUUUUUUUCUUAUCUGAUUGUAACCCCAGAGGUUCCUUACCCAUACGUACUAAAAAAUAUAAAUACCAACAAAUAAAAAUAACAGGUUUUCUCAGUG